ensembl:lncRNA LINC02609 long intergenic non-protein coding RNA 2609
GACACGCCGCCCACCGCAGCCCCAGCCUCUCGCGUGGGGCCUCUGCCCGCACACACGCAGCCAGGCACUGCUUCUAAUGUGAGGAAAAACACGGAAUGACAAGUGUGGGAAAGAGCAAGCACUAAAUUACUGUCAGAAAAAUAAACGGAGUAGCACAGUGCUGCUCGGUGAUUUACGGGGGCAAUUAGUCACCACCCCACGGCGCUGCUGAGGACAGCACGGCAGCAGACAAGUCAGGCCCAUGAGGAAGAAGAGGCUUUGCACUGCUCUCCAGACAACUUUUCAAACAACAAGAGAGGAUAUUUGAGCACAUUAGGUUUUGUGUCUUCAUUCUGGGUACCUACUCUUCAUAUUAUUCUACCAACUUAAUACAUAAACAUAUUUUUAGCACAAUAUGAACCUGUUCUAUGUGUGUUUAAAAGCCUCCAGCAGCAACUUUUUUCUCUCCCACUGUCCAAAGUUGGGUUUUCCCCAUCCC